ensembl:snoRNA
UGAAUCGAUGAUGACCAUGGUGACAUGAGUCAGACGAUGAGUACAUGUCUGGAACUCUGAGGUCCAU